rnacentral:rRNA from 1 species
UACGUAGGGUGCAAGCGUUGUCCGGAAUUAUUGGGCGUAAAGAGCUCGUAGGCGGUUUGUCGCGUCGAAUGUGAAAACCCGGGGCUCAACCCCGGGCCUGCAUUCGAUACGGGCAGACUAGAGUUCGGUAGGGGAGUCUGGAAUUCCUGGUGUAGCGGUGAAAAUGCGCAGAUAUCAGGAGGAACACCGGUGGCGAAGGCGGGACUCUGGGCCGAUACUGACGCUGGAGGAGCGAAAGCGUGGGGAGCA